rnacentral:rRNA from 1 species
AUUGAACGCUGGCGGCAGGCUUAACACAUGCAAGUCGAGCGGGGUGAUGGCGCUUGCACUAUCACUUAGCGGCGGACGGGUGAGUAAUGCUUAGGAAUCUGCCUAUUAGUGGGGGACAACAUCUCGAAAGGGAUGCUAAUACCGCAUACGUCCUACGGGAGAAAGCAGGGGAUCACUUGUGACCUUGCGCUAAUAGAUGAGCCUAAGUCGGAUUAGCUAGUUGGUGGGGUAAAGGCCUACCAAGGCGACGAUCUGUAGCGGGUCUGAGAGGAUGAUCCGCCACACUGGGACUGAGACACGGCCCAGACUCCUACGGGAGGCAGCAGUGGGGAAUAUUUGACAAUGGGGGGAACCCUGAUCCAGCCAUGCCGCGUGUGUGAAGAAGGCCUUAUGGUUGUAAAGCACUUUAAGCGAGGAGGAGGCUCUUUUGGUUAAUACCCAAGAUGAGUGGACGUUACUCGCAGAAUAAGCACCGGCUAACUUUGUGCCAGCCGCCGCAGUAAGAC